GACGAACGCUGGCGGCGUGCUUAACACAUGCAAGUCGAACGGAAAGGCCCUGCUUUUGUGGGGUGCUCGAGUGGCGAACGGGUGAGUAACACGUGAGUAACCUGCCCUUGACUUUGGGAUAACUUCAGGAAACUGGUGCUAAUACCGGAUAGGAGCUCCUGCUGCAUGGUGGGGGUUGGAAAGUUUCGGCGGUUGGGGAUGGACUCGCGGCUUAUCAGCUUGUUGGUGGGGUAGUGGCUUACCAAGGCUUUGACGGGUAGCCGGCCUGAGAGGGUGACCGGCCACAUUGGGACUGAGAUACGGCCCAGACUCCUACAGGAGGCAGCAGUGGGGAAUAUUGCACAAUGGGCGGAAGCCUGAUGCAGCAGCGCCGCGUGCGGGAUGACGGCCUUCGGGUUGUAAACCGCUUUCGCCUGUGACGAAGCGUGAGUGACGGUAAUAGGUAAAGAAGCACCGGCUAACUACGUG
rnacentral:rRNA from 1 species